ACCAAGAGAAAUUCAGUUGAAGCAAACUUAAACCAAGUGAUGUCAAUAGAGGCCAAUUAUCACAGAUCUAACCCAAAUUGGACUAAAACAAACAAGUAUUCAAACGAUUCAACUCAUUCUUAGCUUCUGAAUAUUCAAAGAUUAUUUUAAAAUGAAAAAAUCUAGGAUCCCAAGUUGGACAAAAACAAACAAGUAUUCAAAGAUGAAUUUUCAGAAGUUUUUUUUAGCUAUUUUUGGAGUUUUUGAAUUAUCUCUUUUUUUUUCUUUUAGGGCAACCCUUAGGUUUUAACUUUGCAUUUGAGUCCUUCAUUUUUUAGCUUAUUGACCAAGGUUUUAGCACCAGAAUUAACUAGAAGCCCCUAUUAGAGGCGUCCUAUUUCAGUAGUUAAAAGAUGCCCUUAACCAAAUAGCCAAACUACCCUUAAUUCCAAACAGAUCAAAUAUGACAAUUCAUGAAACAAUGUAGAAAAUCAAAACUGUCACAUGAAUUAGACACACACACUCAUAGGAUUACCUAAUGGAUAAUUAACAAACUUAACCUAAGUUGAACAAUAAACUACUGGACCUAAUUUAAACCCAAAAAUUACACGUAGAAGUCAUUCAACAGAAAAGAUCAUUACAAUCCGAACUGAUUAAACAAAUAAAAUUCAACUAACACAAAUUAAUUAUUCAACUCAAGUAUUAUCCAAAUAAGACUGACACCACUUGACUAUUAUGCACGAAAUCUAAUUCAAACUCAGGAACUUAAUUAUGAAAUCCAACUCAAUAAAAAUCCUACUACAACUCAAAUUAAUCUUAACUAUACUCAGGAAUUAAAAGAGAUGGAAUUCAAGCAAGACUGAAUAACUUGACUGAAAUCAUGAAAUGUAACUUCAACAGAGAAGACUAAAAAUAAUUAAACUCAUGAUCUUCAAACCAAUCAGACUAAAACAAAUUUGACAGGAAAGCCAAACUAAUAGAAACGACUAAUACAAUUUAAUUAGAUCAAACUAAAUCUAAUCUGAC
rnacentral:lncRNA from 1 species